UAAAAUAUUUAAGGACUGAUAAAAUAAUUUACGCAAUAAAAGGUAAAAAUAUCUAGGCCCUAUCAAUAUUUAUUUAUAAGAUUUACUGUACACAACUAAAAUCUAAAAAUAUAGGGUGCUUUAUACAAUGGAAAGUAGGACACCCCUGCCUCUACCUAUACACAUAUGUACAUAAUGUUCAUUUCAUAUCUUUCCUUAUUGCACUGAAUGUAUUGUCUAUACAUAUUUAACUACGAGUAUACAGAUAUUAUUUUCCUUGUAAUUUCCAUACACGCUGAGCAUGGAGUCUAUAACACAUGUCCGUAGCCAAUCUUUGAAUUU
rnacentral:lncRNA from 1 species